GCCAGGUGCAGUGGUGCACACCUGUAAUCCCAGAAGCUCAGGAGGCUGAGGCAGGAGGAUCGCAGCCUUGGUAACAGCAAGGUGCUAAGCAAUUCAAUGAGAUCCUGUCUCUG
rnacentral:sRNA from 1 species